rnacentral:siRNA from 1 species
AUUAGAUCUACGACAGCCGCCACC